rnacentral:rRNA from 1 species
UACGGGGGGAGCAAGCGUUGUUCGGAUUUACUGGGCGUAAAGGGCGCGUAGACGGUUAUUUAAGUCGGGUGUGAAAGCCCCGGGCUCAACCUGGGAAUUGCAUUCGAGACUGAAUAGCUAGGGUACGGUAGAGGGAAGCGGAAUUUCCGGUGUAGCGGUGAAAUGCGUAGAUAUCGGAAGGAACAUCAGUGGCGAAAGCGGCUUCCUGGACCAGUACCGACGUUCAGGCACGAAAGCGUGGGGAGCAAACAGG